rnacentral:rRNA from 1 species
GGAUCGAUUAAGCCUGCUAGUUGUGCGGGUUUAGACCCGCAGCGGAAAGCUCAGUAACACGUGGCCAAGCUACCCUGUGGACGGGAAUACUCUCGGGAAACUGAGGCUAAUCCCCGAUAACGCUUUGCUCCUGGAAGGGGCAAAGCCGGAAACGCUCCGGCGCCACAGGAUGCGGCUGCGGUCGAUUAGGUAGACGGUGGGGUAACGGCCCACCGUGCCCAUAAUCGGUACGGGUUGUGAGAGCAAGAGCCCGGAGACGGAAUCUGAGACAAGAUUCCGGGCCCUACGGGGCGCAGCAGGCGCGAAACCUUUACACUGUACGAAAGUGCGAUAAGGGGACUCCGAGUGUGAAGGCAUAGAGCCUUCACUUUUGUACACCGUAAGGUGGUGCACGAAUAAGGACUGGGCAAGACCGGUGCCAGCCGCCGCGGUAAUACCGGCAGUCCGAGUGAUGGCCGAUCUUAUUGGGCCUAAAGCGUCCGUAGCUGGCUGAACAAGUCCGUUGGGAAAUCUGUCCGCUUAACGGGCAGGCGUCCAGCGGAAACUGUUCAGCUUGGGACCGGAAGACCUGAGGGGUACGUCUGGGGUAGGAGUGAAAUCCUGUAAUCCUGGACGGACCGCCGGUGGCGAAAGCGCCUCAGGAGAACGGAUCCGACAGUGAGGGACGAAAGCUAGGGUCUCGAACCGGAUUAGAUACCCGGGUAGUCCUAGCUGUAAACGAUGUCCGCUAGGUGUGGCGCAGGCUACGAGCCUGCGCUGUGCCGUAGGGAAGCCGAGAAGCGGACCGCCUGGGAAGUACGUCUGCAAGGAUGAAACUUAAAGGAAUUGGCGGGGGAGCACUACAACCGGAGGAGCCUGCGGUUUAAUUGGACUCAACGCCGGACAUCUCACCAGCCCCGACAGUAGUAAUGACGGUCAGGUUGAUGACCUUACCCGAGGCUACUGAGAGGAGGUGCAUGGCCGCCGUCAGCUCGUACCGUGAGGCGUCCUGUUAAGUCAGGCAACGAGCGAGACCCGCACUCCUAAUUGCCAGCAGUACCCUUUGGGUAGCUGGGUACAUUAGGUGGACUGCCGCUGCCAAANNGGAGGAAGGAACGGGCAACGGUAGGUCAGNNUGCCCCGAAUGGGCUGGGCAANNCGCGGGCUACAAU